CUUCGCUGGGAGACAUGGCCGAGAAGUCAGCCCGGCCUGACAGGAAGGCCUCAACCACCCCUAGGCCCUGGAGCACCGACACCAUGUCGAGUAAACAGAUGACCGGGAAUCAGACACAGAUCAUCGGAGGAGGCAGCACCGUCUCCAGGAGAAGCGGUGGACGGCGGGGUGUGCAGAACCCCUGAUGGAAACGCUAUCUGUGCCCUGGUUAGCGCUACAAACUGUCCACCAGCUUCUCCCUGUUCCCAUAGCAAGGCACCUGUUGUCAGCAUACUGGUGCUGGCCUGGGAAAGAUGGUUCAUUCAGCAAAAUAAACGAGGUACUCUGCUGUUCUCAGAAAAGGAAGUCAGAUUUUCAGAGCUAAAAGAUGCCCAAGAGAAAUUCAUAGGUCUUCUCCCCAAAGAUCCUGUUGGCCGUCGUGAGCAAGUACUGAGCGUCAGGCUUGU